rnacentral:rRNA from 1 species
GUACACGCUGUGACUAGCAUAUCAAUAAGCGGAGGAAAAGUAAACUAACAAGGAUUCCCCUAGUAACGGCGAGUGAAGCGGGAAGAGCUCAAAUUUGAAAUCUUAAAGGGUUUCCCUUUACGAAUUGUAGUUUAAAGAAGUGUUUUCUGUUGAGGUUUUGGUAAAAGUUCUUUGGAAUAGGACAUCAUAGAGGGUGAGAAUCCCGUAUUUGACCUUUACUUUCAACUUUGUGAUACACUUUCAAAGAGUCGGAUUGUUUGGGAAUGCAGUCCAAAAUGGGUGGUAAAUUUCAUCUAAAGCUAAAUAUUGGCGAGAGACCGAUAGCGAACAAGUACCGUGAGGGAAAGAUGAAAAGAACUUUGAAAAGAGAGUUAAACAGUACGUGAAAUUGUCAAAAGGGAAGCGUUUGACACCAGUGUUGUUUUUCUGAAAAUCAAUUAAAGAACUGUUUAUGCUAAGUUGUUUAGACUUUAUCAGCUAACUGUUUAGUUUUGAGCUUUUCUUUAAUGCACUUUUCAGUUAACAAGUCAACAUCAAUUUCUUUUGCUGUAAAAAAGCUUGAGGAAGGUGGCUUGAGAUUCGUCUUAAGUGUUUAUAGCCUCUUGCCUAUGCAGUCGGAGAGAUUGAGGUCUGCAGCGUAGAUCCUUCGGGGCUAAAUGCAUUUGUGCUAAGUUAUAGCAUUUUAUAGACAACUUGUUGACUAUGAUUUGUCUUGUAGCUUACUCGCUUAUGUUAUUUUACCUACGCUUAGGAUGUUGACGCGCGUGUGUGCGUG